CGACCCUAGGCCAGUCUGCUCCGUUCAUCGGACCUCCGUGUCCAGCCUCACGCGCCAUCACCAACUCCGCCACACACGGCGGUCGGACUUCGAAAAGCUUCGCUUUUCUCGGCGAAUCUAGAAGGUGCCUUUCUCUCAUUUACUUUAAUGCUUUAUAUACAAGUUGCUUACAAUAAAGUGAUAAAAUAAAAGUAGAAACAAUAGAUCACCUUCAUUUGUCUCGGAAUCCUUCUGAUAUAUUAUUGCAAAAAUAUUUGGUGUACAAUCUUUGUGGUCUGUUUCUCUCUAUGUAUUUUUGAUUCUUAUGUGCUCUUCCGUAUAUCUGUUUUUUUCUUAUAGAUUUGAGAAAAGGCUUUAUAGCCUUGAUCUACUGCCUAUUUUGGAAAGAAAUCUUUCGAUUUCUUUCCUUACCCUGUUCUAAUCUAUUUGUUGUAGUUUUGCUUUGAUUUCUUUCCUUUUCUUGCAGGUGACCACGAGGAUCUCGGUGAUUCAAGGGCUGCUGGCGUUGGUGGAGGCAUGAAGUCCGGUGGUGAGGAUUAGUGGAGACGGUGAGACGCUGAUGGGACGCUGAUAGACUCUGAGACAGUG
rnacentral:lncRNA from 1 species